AAGACCAGUUCUAAGGGAUUUCCCUAGUUCAUUCCUGAUCUUUCUUUUCCUAACUCUCGUCUCCAUUUAAGACUUUAAGUCUUUUUUUCUAAAUUUAUUUAUUUAUUUAUUUCCUUUUUAUUUAUUUAUUUAUUUUUCCUGCUCUACAGCUUGGGGACCAAGUUACACAUACAUGUAUACAUACUUUUUCCUCCCAUUGUUGUGUUUCAAUGUAAGUAUCAAGACAUAGUUCCCAAGACUACACAGCAGGAUCUCAUUGUAAAUCCAUCUCUUAAAGUCUUAAAUUCUCCAGCCAUUAAGUCUUCUCCCAAUAGGGUGUUCCGGAAUCUGAACCCAGUGGCCCAGAAGGAACGCCCAGUAUGUGUGUUAUAAGGUGGAGUGAUGUGUGUGUCUGCAGGUUUGUACCAGAGCCAGCAGUAAGGACUGGAAAGGGCAAGACUUUGCACGACGUCUUUUCAACAAUCCAGCGAAACCAGGAGAGGGAGUUCCAGUUGUGGCUCAGUGGUAACGAACCGGACUAGUACCCAUGAGGAUGCAAGUUUGAUCCUUGGCCCCAUUCAGUGGGUUAAGGAUCUGGUGUUCCCAUGAGUGGUGUGGGUCGCAGAUGUGGCUGGGAUCCCGAGUUGCUGUGGCUCUGGUGUAGGCCAGUGGCUACUGCUCUGAUUAGACCCCUAGCCUGGGAACCUCCAUAUGCCAUGAGUGGGGCCCUAAAAAGCAAAAAAUGAAACAAAACAAAACAAAAACCAAACCAAAACAAACGAACAGAACAGGAGAGAAGGGGGUACCUGCUGUGACCCAGAAUCCCUCUCAUGCUGUGGUCCUCUUCCUCCACCUCUUAUGUGGUGUGGGUUAAGGGGAGAAUUGUCACAGGAUAUCACCCUACUGUCCCAUCUUCCCUGUGCUCCUAUCCCCACCCAACUCCAAAUACUUCUCUAAGCCACUCAAACCCACAGGAGUAGGAAAGGGGUGCGUUGUUUGGGGGAGGGGCAGUCCCACGUGCCCCAUCUGGGGGAAAGGGCUGACUUUUUGGACCUGAGCCUAAGCGCUUUCUGUCCAUGCCAAGGGCUGCCUCCUGCAUCUGGGCCUGUGGGGUUAGAAGAGCUGCCAAAAUCCUAAACUGGGCAAUGACAGUGGACAGCCUAGAUCUUGGCCACUGACUCUGCCUCAGCCCUAGGGUCAUUCGGGACGUCUCUGGAGUUCCUUCCCCCCGCCAGGCUCUGAAGUAGACUUGAGAAAGGCAUAAAGAAACCCCACAAGUCCCCUGUUUCAACCUAAAAGCCCUUCCAGGGGCAGGAACCCCAAGUGAGUGAAAAAGUACAAUUCACCAUUAAGCGGGAGUGUGGAGAAUCCCAUCCAGGGCUGUUUCUGGAUGGGACUUGCCCCCAACACUUGCAGUGCAGCCAACAGGAGUAUUUGUCCUUUCUCAAAAGACGAAGCCUGAAACCCUUUGCCUCCUUGUUCCAGAGAUCCAUUCGGCCCUAAACAGCCAGCCUUCCUUCCAGGAUUGCCUGUAGCCCUGAGCAACAGGUGGCUUAUUUCAGGCUGAAGGACAAGAGGCCUACUACCCCUGUGCCAAGGACGUCCCGCGGGGUCCUCACCUUUGAGCCCCGCCCACCAACCAAUGAGGACUCACAGAGGUGACGUCACUACAUCCUGUUUCCCAGCCCAGCCGGGAGCAUGGGACCCGGUGGGGAAAAGAGCCAAUGUAAAUGACGGAUGCCACGACCAUGUUGGUAAAGACGUGGAAGGCAAAUGAGUCAGCAGCAAGUUUAAGCAACGAACAAUUGCACCACGGGGUGUUUCUCAAAUUCUUGUCUACUUUUAGAAAGUAUGCAAUGCCAUCCGGUUGAGCGUCUUGGUUCUGAAAUAGCUACAGAAAAUGUUAAAAAUGCUGUGGGUGAAGAUGUGCCCACAUGUAUCGCUCUUCUAAAACAAUAGUUAACAAUGGCACAGCGUGUCCUCGGCACAUCUUUUCAUCUUGCUGUACCUUAGUUUCCUCACCCGGAACAUGAGCGGAAUGUGUGCACAUUGUCUUGGGAGAUUCCUUUCGGUCUGACGGUCCAUGAUAUGGUAUCAUGCUCACAGUCUUAAUACUCAGACUGGGUCUACACAGUGCCAAGACCACUAGCCAGUUCAGUGAGUGUGGACAAAAUGUUCUCUCCAAUCAAUUCCUUGGCACCAUGUGGCUAAAACAGCCAGGCCUAUGUGUGAAUAGAGAUGGUGGGAGUAUAAGAAAAAGGACAACUCAUUAUUGAUGUUUCAGAUGCCGUCAUGUUAUGGAUGACACUGGCAGGGACCCCAAGGGAUGAGACCUAUCUCUGCUGGAGAACGUUGGGCAUCUUAAUAGAUAAGAUAAUGAAGCGAAGCCUUAACAGCAAACACUCAUUAAACUUUAACGAUUUCUAUCUACCCUCGUCCCACAAGCAGCUUCCACACAUGCCUCUGCGCAGCUGUGGCCUCAGGACUGAGGCGCAGUGUAGACCGUGUUCAUCGGAACGGCGUUGGAUGACUUUAUUGACCAACUCGGCUCAGCUUUUCUAAGGGGAAAAGCUCUGUUCGUACCAAAGGCUUCUCCAGGCCCUUCCCCAACACCUCUGAUUAAACAGGCUGAGCUCCCCAGAGAACAAUCCGCACCAGGAUGCAGCGAAGCCCAGCAGUGGUCUUUCCUGAUGCUCUGGUCCUCCUCGCCCUGCCCGCUGACGGAUGACUCCGCUCCGUGACUUUACUGAACUCCAGUUCGCCCACCUCCCCACACUCGUGUCCUCGGCUGUGAGCAGGCGCACUUGUGACCUGGGAGAGAACCCAAACCAACACCGACCCUGACCCCUGACGGGAGUGUUAGACUCGCAGCAGAGUCAGAUGGGAGCUGCAGGGCAAGGCUCCCCUUACAUGUGGUCUGAACCCAGGGGAGUUCACCUCGCUGAGUUAAACUCGAUGUGCUGUGACUGCCGGGCCAUGGUGCUUCGUAUCUGACUCCCAAGGGACUCUCCCUCAAGUGACUGCAAGCUCCUUGGGCACUUUUCUAUUUUGGCAUCCCCUGGGAUCAUGCAGAGCACAGAGGGAUGCUCAGGCAGAAAGCACUUUGUGUCUCUGUGUCACCUUUUGGUUAAAAGGACUUUAAAAGUCAUGUUCUGGGAUGGCCUGCUUUGUACCUACCAGAGAGCAGGGUUUGCAGAGUCAGGCGACUUUAGGGGUCUGCUUACACUCUAACCUGAUCAGGGACCUGGUUGCUAAGCGACCUUUCAAUGGAGAUUAGUGAUAACAAACUCAGCAAAGAGCUGAGGCUUGAGAAAGGAAU
rnacentral:lncRNA from 1 species